UGGGCGUAAGGGCUCGCAGGCGGUUUCUUAAGUCUGAUGUGAAAGCCCCCGGCUCAACCGGGGAGGGUCAUUGGAAACUGGGGAACUUGAGUGCAGAAGAGGAGAGUGGAAUUCCACGUGUAGCGGUGAAAUGCGUAGAGAUGUGGAGGAACACCAGUGGCGAAGGCGACUCUCUGGUCUGUAACUGACGCUGAGGAGCGAAAGCGUGGGGAGCGAACAGGAUUAGAUACCCUGGUAGUCCACGCCGUAAACGAUGAGUGCUAAGUGUUAGGGGGUUUCCGCCCCUUAGAGCUGCAGCUAACGCAUUACUCACUCCGCCUGG
rnacentral:rRNA from 1 species